rnacentral:misc_RNA from 1 species
GAUGAGUUCAAUGACCAUGACCCGUUUUGUCCUGCUCAGGAUGCUCUUCUUAGAGUUCAUGCGGCAAUUUCAAAUGCAGUUGCCUCUGUUGUUGAUUCUGACAAGAAACGGAAGGAUAAGGAGGAAUGCCAAAUUCUUGUUCCAUCUAGCCAGUCUGCAAAUAUCAUUGGUAAGGCUGGGAUGACCAUAAAGAAAUUGAGAAGUAAGACAAGGACAAAUAUCAAAGUUACUGCCAAGGAUGCCUCGGACCCAACUCAGUCAUGUGCUAUGGACUUUGACAACUUUAUUCUGAUAAGUGGUGAAUCAGAAGCUGUGAAGAAAGCAUUAUUUGCUGUUUCUGCAAUUAUGUAUAAAUUCAAUCCUAAAGAAGAAAUUCCUCUUGAGACAACUGUACCUGAAGCUCCUCCGAGCAUUAUCAUACCAUCAGAUGUCUCUAUUUAUCCACCAGGUGGAUUAUAUCCAAAUACAGAUCCAAUUGUCCCUUCUAGAUCUGUUCCACCAAUCCUAGGCUCCACACAUGUGCCUGAACUUCAGGGUUACGGGGAUACAGGGAGUUCAUGGCCUGUAUAUUCAUCCACCCUCCCUGUAGUUCCUAGUUUUGGCAGUGCCUCUCGCUCUGAGGAGUUAAUCAUACGAGUUUUGUGCCCUUUUGACAAGAUUGGUCGUGUAAUUGGCAAGGGAGGGGGUACUAUUAAAAGCAUAAGGCAGGCUAGCGGGGCUCGUGUCGAGGUUGAUGAUACCAAGGCUGACCGUGAUGAGUGUAUUAUUACAGUGACUGCAACAGAGUCGCCUGAUGAUUUGAAGUCCAUGGCAGUUGAAGCUGUUUUAUUGCUCCAAGGGAAGAUUAAUGAUGAAGAUGAUGAUACUGUUAGCAUUCGUCUCCUUGUUCCAUCUAAAGUUAUUGGGUGUAUUAUUGGGAAAAGUGGUUCAAUUGUAAAUGAAAUUCGGAAGAGAACCAAAGCUGAUGUGCGCAUAUCAAAAGGCGAGAAACCUAAGUGUGCUGAUUCCAAUGAUGAACUUGUUGAGGUUUUGGGAGAAGUUGGUAGUGUGAGAGAUGCACUUGUCCAGAUUGUUUUGAGGCUUAGAGAUGAUGUAUUGAAAGAAAAAGAUGGUAGUCAUAAUCCUUCAGUUGGCGCUGAUUCUUUAUAUUCGGGUGGCUCUGGUAUUCCAGUACCAUCUCUCUUACCUUCUGUUCCACCAGUUGCUCCAUUGGCGUAUGAUCAGAGGGCUGAAAGUGGAAGUGGCUUGGGCCUACUUUCAUCAAACAGCCUCUAUGGAUACGGAUCUCUGUCGAUGGGAGAAAAUGGCUAUGGUUCUAUGUCGUCAUAUUCAUCAUCUAAGCUCUAUGGAGGGUUGCCUCCACCCUCAACCUUAGAUAUGUUGGUGCCUGCUAAUGCUGUUGGAAAAGUUAUGGGUAAAGGAGGGGCAAAUAUAGCCAACAUUCGAAAGAUAUCUGGGGCAAUGAUAGAGAUCUCUGAUGCCAAGUCUGCCAGGGGUGAUCGUAUUGCUCAUAUAUCUGGCACACCAGAGCAGAAGCGUGCAGCAGAAAACUUGAUCCAAGCAUUUAUAAUGGCAACUUAAGUUUUGAGAAUACUUCUUGGUAUUUGAAGGUGAAUAGUUAAAACCUUGGAAUUUUCUUCAUCAAAAGUCAUCCUUAG